rfam:Human immunodeficiency virus type 1, partial proviral GAG gene, P17-gag region, isolate EM
GGCCAGGGAAAGACAAAAGAUAUAAACUAAAACAUAUAGUAUGGGCAAGCAGGGAGCUAGAACGAUUUGCAUUAAAUCCUGGCC